UACGUAGGGGGCAAGCGUUGUCCGGAAUUAUUGGGCGUAAAGCGCGCGCAGGCGGUUCAUUAAGUUGGGUGUUUAAGCCCGGGGCUCAACCCCGGUUCGCAUCCAAAACUGGUUGACUUGAGUGUAGGAGAGGAAAGUGGAAUUCCACGUGUAGCGGUGAAAUGCGUAGAGAUGUGGAGGAACACCAGUGGCGAAGGCAGCUCGCUGGGACGGUACUGACGCUGAGGCGCGAAAGCGUGGGGAGCAAACAGG
rnacentral:rRNA from 1 species